rnacentral:lncRNA from 1 species
GGGACAGUAUGAUUUUUUAAGAUUGACCUAUAAUUAACAAUGUGUCGCCACAGAGGCAAUGAUUACUUGUAUAUGAAAUAAAUGGCUUAAAACAAAAAUCUCAAAAUGUCUUGCCUCAAUGUAUUACGCAGCAGCAACUAAAAUGUGUUAUAGGGUUAUAAGCACCUCAGAUCAACAUUGCAUGAAUCUAGUGUAUAUAAACUUUUUAUUCCUGAGGUCACAAUACUAUUGUUAUGCCCCCACCAUAUUGAGUUUUAUCCUUGUUUUUUUUUUCUGUAAGUAUGUACGUCCCUUACUUGUACGUACGUCCAUACAUCCUAAAAUUGAUUUCUGUUCUCUUACUUUAGUUUGACUGAACCAAAUUUUAUGAAACUUCUACGCAACCACAAAACACAAGUCAAGUUUGAAUUUUGUUGUCGUCACUUUUACCAUUCUAGAUGUAAAGGGGUGAAAUUUUCAGUAUACCCUAUCAAGUAUAUAUACCUUUAUAUAUAAGUUUGACUUGUAGCUUUCUUCGGUAAUACAUUUAUCAGGUGAACAUAAAAACGGUCUUUAGAUUUAGAAGUAUAGAUAUAUAAAACAAGAAUGUGUUCCCAGUACACGCAUGCCCCAUCUGCACUAUCAUUUUCUAUGUUCAGUGGACCGUGAAAAUGGAGUAAAAAAACUAAUUGGCAUUAAAAUUAGAAAGAUUAUAUCAUAGGGAACAACUAUAAUACUAAAAUAAUGAGGUCCAAUUAUCAGCCGUCAUGGGUAAACGACAAAUCAAAGAACUCAAUUUUAUAUAUAUCCAAUAUAGGACAAUGGUGUUGAUUAAAAAUUACACCACUCUUCCACAUAAUUAAUAUUCACCUGUUACCUAUUACCUUAUCUGUACGUUUCUCAUCUGACAGGCGCACCACCAAACGGUGUAUUUUGGAUUUUGCCAUAUACAUGUACACGGGUCAUAAUCACAGGGUUGACACUACUAAAUUCAAUCAUUGUCAAAUUGUUCCCUAUUGUAGUAUUUUAAGCAGUAAGACUUUCUAAGAUGACAAUACGAAUACUAAUAAACUGGACUUAAAUUAAGGCGUUUAUGUACAGUUUUCAAUUUGUUAGCGGGCAUGGCCCAUAAAACAGCGAAUCAAAGAAUUCAACUUUAUUUAUAACUAAAUUAAUAAAUAUAGGACAAUGCUGUUGAUUAAAAAAUACUCCAUUCCAGGACCUUUUGUUUUCCAAAUAAUUAAAAUUACCAAUAAUUGAUAAGUUCCAGGUCGACGGAAAGAUUUUGAAAGCAGAGAACACUGUGCAUCUUAUAAUCGGCAUGACUUUAUCAGAUGACAAUAAAUAAAGUUGUCAAUGCCAAAAUAAGGCGUAUGCAUAGUUAUAUACUUUAAUUCAGUCACGGACCCGCGAUAUCACGGGUGUGUUCUAAGUUUCAAAUUGAUUGGACUUCAACUUUAUCAAAAACUACCUUGACCAAAAAAUUUAACCUGAAUGAGACAGAGGAAUGUACGGAAGACGGACGGACGCACAGACCAGAAAACAUAAUGCCCAUAAAUUGGGCUUAAAAAGUGAUUUUUGGAAAUUGCUGGCGAGACAAUGGUUUAGUUUGAAAAAUCAAACCUGUGAUUAAAUACAUAUUUGAAAUAAUACACGUCUAUAACCUAUUUGAAAUAAUACACAUAUACAGUUGCAAACUUUCCAGAGGUGCUAUCCAGCACUUUGAUUCUA